rnacentral:rRNA from 1 species
AUUGAACGCUGGCGGCAUGCCUUACACAUGCAAGUCGAACGGUAACAGGUCUUCGGAUGCUGACGAGUGGCGAACGGGUGAGUAAUACAUCGGAACGUGCCCGAUCGUGGGGGAUAACGGAGCGAAAGCUUUGCUAAUACCGCAUAAGAUCUACGGAUGAAAGCAGGGGACCGCAAUGCCUUGCGCGAACGGAGCGGCCGAUGGCAGAUUAGGUAGUUGGUGGGAUAAAAGCUUACCAAGCCGACGAUCUGUAGCUGGUCUGAGAGGACGACCAGCCAGACUGGGACUGAGACACGGCCCAGACUCCUACGGGAGACAGCAGUGGGGAAUUUUGGACAAUGGGCGCAAGCCUGAUCCAGCCAUGCCGCGUGCAGGAUGAAGGCCUUCGGGUUGUAAACUGCUUUUGUACGGAACGAAAAGACUCUUUCUAAUAAAGAGGGUCCAUGACGGUACCGUAAGAAUAAGCACCGGCUAACUACGUGCCAGCCGCCGCAGUAACAC